UAUAUAUAUAUAUAUAUAUAUGGAUAUAUAUGGAUAUUAGUAUGCUUGUGCUGUAGUUUGCUGAUUAUAAAGCCUAUGCCUUUCAAUGGGUUCUUUCUCCUCCACUUAAGUUACCAUGCAUUUCUGUUGAGCUGCGGUGAGAAUUAUGAAAAAGGUUGAGCAAAUGUGCAUACAAACAAGCCACAGGGAUUCUAGUAGACUGAGCAAGAGGGAGCGUUGAAGAUAGGGAGUGUUAGAGAUGGGAGGAGAGAGGGAACACUAUGCAGGAACAUAACCCAUCACUCCAGAUGUAAUUGCUCUCUACUUUCAGAGAGGAUAUCAACGUUUUUUGGUCGCAUACACAGUUUAAUAGGUGGUAUAUAGCGGUGCAGCGAAAUGGUUAUGUUACUAACAAUGCAGUAUCCAGACCUCUACUUCAGACAUUUACUCCCAGAAUGAGAGAGGUUGUCUUGUCUGAGGAAAGGUGAAGAAAUGCUUAUUUGUGUACCAUUUCCCUAUACGACAAGUGGGCCGAUAGAGGAGUGAGAGAGACGGACUACAUACACAAUGAUGACGGGUCAAAUCUCAUGCCAAAACAAUCACACUAUAAAACUAUUGUACAUGUCGCUACAUGGCUUACAUUGAGUCUCUCCUCCUGACCCAUUCUGUCCUUCCAUCUCAUGUUCUAUCUCUUUACUCUUUAAAACCUCUGUUUAGUGAUCAUUUGUAUAUUUCACCAUCAAUACAGAAUAUGCGCACUUUUACAUCUUAGUGGACCUUAAAUGAUGGCUCAUCUUUCUUUUUGGUGAGGACAUUUGUAAAGACAAGGUCAGGCUUCUGCUCGAGUCCAUCCAGGGAGUGGCCUGUUCUGUUGCGUGAUUUUAUGACGCUUUCUUUUGUUUGAAAAGGUCAUUUAUGAAAAUCCAUGUUUUUGUAGUGGAAUUAUUAUACUAUAAAGGCAUUCCCUCCACUCUGUCGAAUGCCUUCUGUGGGCACAGUGUGUGGAUGCGUGCACACGCAUGUGAGAUGUGUAUUGAUUUCCUUCAGAUGAUUUCCUGUUAUUUGACCAUUUUGAGUCUUAUGAUGAUCAGAAGUAAGACUAUUGUUGUUAUGAUUACAUUAUUAACAUUAUGAUUAUUAAGUGCUGGAUGCAUUAUUGUGCAUUUUAUUUUUGAUGUUUUAUAUGUUGUAUAAGGAAAUCUUUUACAUUUGGCCUUGUUGUGGACAGCGAGCCAUGUGGCUUUUCUGAUUAGUUAUAUCAGCCAGUUCUCUGCUUUUCUGAUUAGUUAUAUCAGCCAGUUCUCUGCUUUUCUGAUUAGUUAUAUCAGCCAGUUCUCUGCUUUUCUGAUUAGUUAUAUCAGCCAUUCUCUGCUUUUCUGAUUAGUUAUAUCAGCCAGUUCUCUGCUUUUCUGAUUAGUUAUAUCAGCCAUUCUCUGCUUUUCUGAUUAGUUAUAUCAGCCAGUUCUCUGCUUUUCUGAUUAGUUAUAUCAGCCAGUUCUCUGCUUUUCUGAUUAGUUAUAUCAGCCAUUCUCUGCUUUUCUGAUUAGUUAUAUCAGCCAGUUCUCUGCUUUUCUGAUUAGUUAUAUCAGCCAGUUCUCUGCUUUUCUGAUUAGUUAUAUCAGCCAGUUCUCUGCUUUUCUGAUUAGUUAUAUCAGCCAGUUCUCUGCUUUUCUGAUUAGUUAUAUCAGCCAGUUCUCUGCUUUUCUGAUUAGUUAUAUCAGCCAUUCUCUGCUUUUCUGAUUAGUUAUAUCAGCCAGUUCUCUGCUUUUCUGAUUAGUUAUAUCAGCCAGUUCUCUGCUUUUCUGAUUAGUUAUAUCGUGAAAGUUCUCUGGUUUUCUGUUGUAUUUGGUUUUUACAGAGAAAGACAAAUUAGAGGAAGUUAUUCUAAGUUAGCUAUGGAUCAGAACUUACUGUGUGUACGCUAUGGCACAUGCGUCUAUAUUACUGACAUACACUAAUUCAUUAACGUCAUACCAAAAACAAUCUAAGACAUUGUAUCAAGUGCUUUUGUUUCAACCGUGCGUGUGCAGGUGCAAAUAUUUUCAAUUCAUUGUGGUCUAAUAAUUUUGCUUGGAUGUAGUUAUUUAGUUUAUUUUUCAGUUUGUAUACAUACGGAAUACUUGUAUAUGAAGAGUCUUGUGACCUGCUAGUCUAGACCUGCUGGAGAUCGCAUCUUUAAUCCCUCUUUUCUUUAUUGGUCUUGUUGCCAUGGUUUCCAAAGGUCUACUGUAUAUCCUAAACAUAAGCCCAAUCCCAAAUCUACCCCUGGCCCCAACCCCUAUAUACUUUUUGUAGGUCUGAAAUGAUCGGACUGGUGUAAAUAUUAUAUAUUUCAACUUGGCCUAUCAAAGGGCAAGGUCCCCUUCCAGACCUACAAGACAUGUUUUGGAGUGCCUGGAUGCUACAAGGUACAGGAACAGAGUGAGCCACAAUGUUGGCUCUGGGAAUUGGAGUUGGUUUGCCAGAGGUGGUUGCAAACAUACCAUCUGCCACACUUCAUUUUUUCCAUCUGUCCCAAUGCUAAACACCGUAUCCAACGAACACCCCUCUGAUGUCCGUUUGAUUACACUGGUUGGAAAUGCCUUCUCCAUGUGUGGUGACGAGCUUUAAUCAAGUUGCAUUAUUUUAAUUUGACCCAUCCAUCAGAAAUCUCUAAUCUGUUGAAGUUUUCAGAAAGGAAACAAAUGACGUUGGGUGGAUAUGUUGAAUGUUAAUGGCUGAAUAUAAUGGGAUUGUCCAGAUUGUCCAGAAGUGCAGUGUGUUUGGAAGUAGUGCAGUAUCAGUGAUAUUUCUCUGUCAUCCACCCAGUGUUUUUCCAGUCCAGACUCCUGUGAACUUCUCUUCUCAUCAUCACCUGCCUGUGUCUUCUUCUUCCUUGUCUUGGGUUGUAAUUCAGGAAAUAUUUGCCAUCCAAUCCCCUCAACAAUGUGCCUCGAUCUGUUUUACCGGUGUGUGCGUGGGUGUGCCUGCAUGGGUGUGUGCAUGGGUGUGUGUGUGGGUGUGCCUGCAUGGGUGUGUGUGUGUGUUUCAAGAGAAACGGAAAUCAUAUAUUUUAUCUCAAUCACAGGUGCAAAAAGUUGAGACAAAAAAAUGCAGCUAUAUGUUUCUGUUUCUGAGUUCAUUAAUCCUUUGUGGUUUUAUGGUCUUAACUGCACGUCUCUCAUUUGUCAUACCAAAGUCUCUAACAUCCGCACACAGCUGGCUCAUUUCACACCAGGAACAACUAGAGCUGUUUGCUUUCAGAAGAUGAAUAUGGCAAAUCCUUUCUUAGAUGUGUACAAAAUUCAAAUCCUGAUUUAGCCUGUAUAGCUUGAUUCAUAUGUGCAAAUCACAAAGCCAUAGACAUGGUGAUAUGAAGAGUAUACUAUAUUUCAAAAUUCUUAUUUUUUAUUUUAAGACUAUGUUCUUUACUAAGAGUGAUGUGUUCAUAUAUAUAUAUAUAAAUUGAUAUUACUAUUAUAUAUUAUUUAUUUUCUCUCAUGUUUCGCAAGGUGUCUUUCAUUUGUAAAGUGAGAUGCUUGAAACUUUACUGUUCUUUGUUGGGAAUUUUGUUCAAUAUGAUACUGACUUUAUAUUGAUUAUCAUAAACCUGUGUUUGUAACGAAGAUGUGUUAAAUAAUCAAACCCCUUGAUCUGUUUGGGAGGAUUAAAGUGGGAAGAUUUUCUGUAUAGUGCUGAUCGCUUGAUUGUUUUUAUAGCCAAACAUGAACUUCCCUACCGUCCUGUUGUGAGGGAUAGCCUAAAGGGCUAACCCCAGGCCUCGUUCUAACUUAAUGUUUAGUGGAAAUUAGCUUGACUAUUAUUUGCAAAACAAAUCAGUCUCAAUAAAUUUGGAAAUUGCUGCUGA